UGAGGAAUUUCCCAAAAUGUUAUUGUUGGGUUUACAUAUAUUGGAUUUUUUACAUGAGGGAUUAUCCGUGGCUAGGUGUGCAUUACAUGAUUUGAAUGCAUGACGUGGAGGCAAAGAACCUGUAACACACAUCUAGCCAUGGAUUAUCCCACUUAUAUCAGCAUUGACAAGUUAAAUCUGACAUUGAUGUUUGCAGCGCAAAAUUUGAUUGAAAAGAUAAAAAUAAUGGUUCAUUUUUGUUAGUUAUUUUAUGUACGGGUCGUUGAUCUAGAAUUCCACCUGCUAUAAAUCAUACACAGCGAUAAAGUAGUGCUAUAAGAUUACAUUUAUUUGAAUGAAUUAUAGUAAAUAAUUAUUAGAGAGAGAGAAAAAGUGAGCAAGCAAGCGAGACUGCACAUGUGUGAAUUAUGGCGGCUGUCUACUAAUAAUGAAGCUGUGAGUUUAACUAUAUGUUACUAUGAUUACAAUUGUUUAUAGGCAGCGCAUUCAUUUACAAUGCUGGUUAUACUGACCGGAACUACCUGUGGUAUAAACGGUUUUAAAUCACACCUUCCAGCCAAUCAAAAUCGAGUAUUCGGACAGACCAUGGGAUAAUGAAAUAAUAUAUAUAACAAAAAAUAUUUAAUAUUGUAAUAAUAUUAGUGAUCAACUUUUAAAGACUAUUGCGUAAAAAAAUUACCCUGUUGUCUCACCCUAAAUAGCCGGAAAACACUAAUUGAGCUUAGAAGACAGGCGUAAAUGGUUGAAGCCACACAAAUUAUGGGGUUGAGGGAAAGAGCUUGAAUAAAGAUGAAGAAAGUGGAAGUCAGGGAAGAGGAGCAAGAGAGUUUCGGAUGAAUAAGGCUUAGAAAGCCAGAUUAGCUUUUAGCUCGGUAAUGCCCUCCGUCUGUGGAGUGGAGGCAGAGAACACACUUAACAUUCAGGGCUGCACAUCAAACGCUCUCAACCAGUCAGCGAUACAUGGCACAGAUACACCGCCUCCUGGUGCAGAGAGGGAAAAAAAAGAGAUGGAGGAUGUGGGGGUGACAAAGAGAAGAAGAAAGAGUGAGAAAAGAAACACUGGAAGCACUGGAAAAGAACCCAGAGGAAGAAAUUCCAGCAGUGUCAGCAAUGUGUGUAAAUUCUGACUCUAACGGACCCUCAGCCUCAUGUACAUCACUCAAGUUGAUAAUUGCACAUCAGAGCCCUAAUCAAAGGGGUUGGCAGAGUCGAAGGGUCAUGAGUGACUGGCAUGUUUGUCCACGCUGCUGUCCAACACUCCAAUCACACAAUCCCAAACAUCAUUAGACAGCUUACAGCAGCUCUGGGACACCAGCAGCAAACUGACCGCUGGCAAACAUGCCUCUGUCUCAUUCUGUGCCUAAAGUAGAUGGCCUAACAUGGUGAAUUUUAUUGUACGGACAUUUUGAUGCAUUCAGUAGUCUAAUGGGCUUGUGCUUACAAAAAGAUUGCCUAUGAACAACCUGCUCCUGUUGUAUUCACAACUUUGGAAACGGUGCAGUGGUUACAUUGUGUUAGCAAAGUUACGGCAACACAGUCAACAAGGAAGAAGCUGAAGCUGAUGUUGUUGUUUUGCUUAGCUGUGUUUGUUUUUCCACAGACAAUAUUUGCCUUGCCAUGGGAGGUAGAGUUACUACCUCAAAGCUGCAGGUCCCCAGUUCAAGCCUGAGCUCAAGUUACUGUGUGUGCUGAGUUUUGCAUGUUCUCCUAAUGUCCAUGUUCCAAGUUCUUCAAUUUCCUUUCACCAGCCAAAAACAUACUAGUAGGUGGAUAGGCUAUGUUAAAUAUCCCCUCUGUGUGAAUGUGUGUGC